rnacentral:rRNA from 1 species
UACGUAGGGCGCAAGCGUUGUCCGGAAUUAUUGGGCGUAAAGAGCUCGUAGGCGGCCUGUCGCGUCUGCUGUGAAAACCCGCGGCUUAACCGUGGGCUUGCAGCUGAUACGGGCGGGCUGGAGUUCGGUAGGGGAGACUGGAAUUCCUGGUGUAGCGGUGGAAAUGCGCAGAUAUCAGGAGGAACACCGGUGGCGAAGGCGGGUCUCUGGGCCGAUGACGCUGAGGAGCGAAAGCGUGGGGAGCGAACAGG